ensembl:lncRNA
CCAGGACUCCAGGAUCAUGACCUGAGCCAAAGGCAGACGCUUAAUGACUGAGCCACCCAGGUGCCCCAAAUCACUUUAUUUUAAGAUGAGGAGAAUUGAGGAUUCAAGAGUUGAAGUUGCUUGCCCCAGACCCCGCCCCCGGUCAGAGGGACAGCAGCACUGGGAAGCCCAGUCUCUUAUCCACCUAUGCUUCAUCUUGCCCUUGGCAAACUCUGGUGUUGCUGCCAUCAUUUCUCUUCCUUCUUCCCAACAGGAGAAUGAUUUUGCUCAAGUAUCUACCCCGCCCACAAGGCUUAUGGGCCCAAAUGGAGCUUACCCUGUGGCGUUUCUCUGUCCACACCCAAGGUCAAUAUGGCAGAAGCCAUUUUGCCACCAGGCUGCAAAUGAAGCCACCAUCCCGAGGGAGGCAGAGUUUAGAAAGUCACCAGAAAAUGGAGCUCCUGCUGCUGUUGGACGAGGUCAGUCUCAGGCCUGCUCUGCUGAACUUUCCAUCUGCCUCAUCUUUGGUGUAAUCACUACAUGACUGUCAGAAUUUGUAGGUUUCAAAAACAGACACAUAGACCAAUGGAACAGAAUAGAGAACCCGGAAGUGGACCCUCGGCUCUUUGGGCAACUAAUCUUUGAUAAAGCAGGAAAAAACAUCUGGUGGAAAAAAGACAGUCUCUUCAAAUAAAUGGUGCUGGNGUGCUGGGAAAAUUGGACAGCUACAUGCAAAAGAAUGAAACUUGACCACUCUCUCACACCAUACACAAAGAUAAACUCCAAAUGGAUGAAAGACCUCGAUGUGAGACAGGAAUCCAUCAAAAUCCUAGAGGAGAACACAGGCAGCAACAACUACGACAUCGGCCAAAGCAAACUUUUUCAUGACACAUCUCCAAAGGCAAGAGAAACAAAAGAUAAAACGAACUUNACAAGGCAAGAAACAACAAUUGUUGGAGAGGAUGUGGAGAAAGGGGAUCCCUCCUACAUUGUUGGUGGGAAUGCAAGUUGGUACAGCCACUCUGGAAAACAGUGUGGAGGUCCCUUAAAAAGUUAAAAAUUGAACUACCCUAUGACCCAGCCAUUGCACUACUGGGUGUUUACCCCAAAGAUACAGACGUAGUAAAGAGAAGGGCCAUAUGCACCCCAAUGUUCAUAGCUGCAUUGUCCACAAUAGCCAAAUCAUGGAAGGAGCCGAGAUGCCCUUCAACAGAUGACUGGAUUAAGAAGUUGGCGUCCAUAUAUACAAUGGAAUAUUACUCAGCUAUCAGAAAGAACGAGUUCUCAACAUUUGCUGCAACAUGGACGGCACUGGAGGAGAUAAUGCUAAGUGAAAUAAGUCAAGCAGAGAAAGACAAUUAUCAUAUGAUUUCUCUCAUCUAUGGAACAUAAGAACUAGGAGGAUCGGUAGGGGAAGAAAGGGAUAAAGAAAAGGGGGGUAAUCAGAAGGGGGAAUGAAACAUGAGAGACUAUGGACUNUAUGAGAAACAAACUGAGGACUUCAGAGGGGAGGGGGGUGGGGGAAUGGGAUAGGCUGGUGAUGGGUAGUGAGGAGGGCACGUAUUGCGUGGUGCACUGGGUGUUAUACGCAACUAACGAAUCAUCGAACUUUACAUCAAAAACCAGGGAUGUACUGUAUGGUGACUAACAUAAUAUAAUAAAAAAAAUUAAAAAAAAAGAAUUUGUAGGUUUCAUUUUGUAAAUCUAUAAUAUCGAUAUUAUAUUAGUUGAUACUGAUGAAUUCAUCCUUGUACCUUGUGGUGGUUUUGAAACAUGUUUGUAAUUCUUUGACACUCCUCACAGGAGGAUAUAGAGUCUGUGUCCCUGCCUCUUGAAACUGGGCAAGCUCUCAUGACUGUUUCAAUGAACAGAAUGUGACAGGAGUGGUGCUGUGUGACUUCCGAAGUCAGAUCAGAAAAGGUCAUGCAGUUUCUGCCAGUCUCUCUUUAGGACACUGACUCCAAGUCUCAUGCCACAUAAGAGGUCUGUCCAUGCUGAGUCUCUUUGGGGAGAGACCACAUAGAAAGACAGGUAGGUAGGUAGAUCAAUCGAUCCAGAAAUGGAAGGAUAGAUCCUUAGGUAGCUGAAUAUAUCCAUAGGUGGCUGGAUGAAUAGAUUGAACCCCUAGUUAUUUCAGUCUUCCUAGGCUCUAAGACAUGUGAGUAAAGAACCCUUGAGGAUGACCCUGGCCCAGCCUCUGUCUUUCUGUAACUGCAUGACAGACAAAGCAAGAACCACCUUGCUUAGCCCAGUACACUCCAGAUCGCUUUUGCUUUAAGCCACCAUUUGAGGUGGUUUGUUACACAUUAGCACAUGUUAGCAAUAGCUAAUCAGAACACAGCUUAUUAAUACAUUUAAUAAAAUAGUUUAUAUUUAUAGAAGAAAAUGACAAUAGUGUCCUAUAAUCUGGGACUCCCUUCUCUAUGCUUCUAGUUUGAGCUCCCUGUUCAUACUACAGGCAAAAUGACUCCUUUGGUAGCAGUAACACCAUGAGUAGGAAUUGUUUCUGGCCCAGAAACGUAAAUGGUUCUUAUCAAUGGUAAUUGUUAUUUCCAUUAUUAAUGGAAUGCUACUAAACAAAUUAAGACCUUCAAAUUCUGCUUCACACCCUCGCCCACCCCAUACCUUCUCCCUUACUCUCCUGCUUGAGAAGGACUCAUGAAGUUUUAGAACCUGAAAGGAAUCUAAGGGAAGCAUCAGAACCAACCUACUUACUUUAGAGAUGAGGAAACUACUGUUGCACACUUGAUAAAUUGGUGAUACGGAACUAGAACCCAGGUCUCCAGGCAAUCAGAUCAAUGCCACUCCAUUUCAUCACUUCCUGCCCUGGACGGGGUCAUCUUUCAGACCCAGAGCAAGGGCCUGACUCUCUAGACUGACCUACCCAAGAGGUCCUAUUGUAAUCAAGAGAAAGCUGCUUAGUGUCCUGCCCAUGCACCUGUUUAUUAAUGGGUCAAAUCAAGACCCCAUUCAGGCUAAUCCACUUGUGUAAACAGCUAUUACACACAAAGAGAACCGCAUAAAAUAAAGCCAACAUAAAAAGGGCUUCUUUUCCCUGAAAGAGGGAAGUGAGAGUUGCCUGUGCUUUUCAAUAUUAAUUAUAUGAUGCGGCAGGGAAGGUGUGGGAAUUGAAACGGAUCUGAAAUUCUCUCUUGCCUACAAAUCUAAUAAACACCAAAGAUUCUUAUUUUAUUUUUUUAAACAGGCAGAAGUGCUCUUGCAGGUCUCAAACUAGAGAAGGACCAAAUGCCACAGUAUAUGCUACUUUGCAAAGUGCUGUCAAAAGCAGAGCUGGAAAAUUCUUGACAUCAUCAAGUGGCUUCCCCCCAGAAAUGGUAUGAAUGGGAGCUGGGCGGGGGGAGCAAGAGGCUGUGGACAGGAAGCUGAGUGCACAGAUUCUGAAAAAAGGACUACUGAAAUCCCUAUUUGUAAGGCAGCAGAUGGGGAAGGGCAGGUUCUAGAGUAGAAACCCUUCCUACGAGCAUAUUGAGGAUAAAAACAAAUUCACAGCAAGUACAAAGAAGAAACAAGCAUUGCCUAUAAUCUCUUCCCUCACUGAUAACACUAGUAGGUUAUCAUGUGUUAUUUCAUAUCACCAAAAUCAUGUGUUACAUACAAUUUUGUGGCCUUUUCUUUGCUGAGUAUUCUAUCAUAAAAAUUAUCCCACAUCAUUAGAAAUUAUCCACAAACAUCAUUUUAAGAACUAUGUAGUGUUUGCUGACUAUACCAUACUUAUUUCCUUAUUGCUGGAUAUUUUCCCUAAUUUUUCGAUAUUAUAAAUAACUCAUCAAUAAACCACUUUGUGUCCUACCUGUGGUUUUCCAGAAAUACACUUCUCUCUUAGUCUUUCCUUAUAGAUUUUGAUAAAGAGAGAGGACAUUUCAUUUGUUAUGAAAGUAGAGGUAAAUAAGCUGAUAAAAGGCAUAUAUUAUGUUAUAAUGCAUAUUGUACAAAAGGUUGUAAGCAAUGCUCAUUUUCUUCUUGUCACUUGCUGUGAGGAGUAUCUCUAUUUGACAGAUAAGGAACCUGAGGCUCAAAGACAUUAAGUGAUUUGCUCAAGGUCACUGAGCCAGGAUUUUAACUCUGGUGAGCAAACCCCAGAGCCCACACUUCUUUUUUUUUUUUUUUUUUUUAAAAAUUUUUUUUUUUUUUUUGAGAGAUAGAGCACAGAGGGAGAAGGAGAGGGAGAAACAACCCACCUCAGUAUCUCUUGCUUUGGAGGGAGUAUCAUGU